rnacentral:rRNA from 1 species
AGAAUCAACGCUGGCGGCGUGCCUAACACAUGCAAGUCGAACGAGAAAGUGGAGCAAUCCAUGAGUACAGUGGCGUACGGGUGAGUAACACGUGACUAACCUACCCUCGAGUGGGGAAUAACCUCGGGAAACCGGGGCUAACACCGCAUAACAUCUACGGAUCAAAUGCGUAAGCAGCUUGAGGAGGGGGUCGCGGCUGAUUAGCUAGUUGGCGGGGUAAUGGCCCACCAAGGCAGUGAUCAGUAGCCGGCCUGAGAGGGCGCGACGGACCGACGACCUGGAACUGAAACACGGUCCAGACUCCUACGGGAGGCAGCAGUGGGGAAUUUUUGCGCAAUGGGGGAAACCCUGACGCAGCAACGCCGCGUGGAGGAUUAAGCCCCUUGGGGUGUAAACUCCUUUCGAUCGGGACGAUUAUGACGGUACCGGAAGAAGAAGCACCGGCUAACUCUGUGCCAGCAGCCGC